rnacentral:rRNA from 1 species
UGAGUUUGAUCAUGGUUCAGGACGAACGCUGGCGGCGUGCCUAAUACAUGCAAGUCGAGCGAACAAGAGAGGUGCUUGCACCUCUUGCGUUAGCGGCGGAUGGGUGAGUAACACGUGGGCAACCUGCCCUGUAGAUUGGGAUAACUCGCGGAAACGUGGGCUAAUACCAAAUAAUUCAUCGCACCUCCUGGUGCGAUGUUGAAAGACGGUUUCGGCUGUCACUACAGGAUGGGCCCGCGGCGCAUUAGCUAGUUGGUGGGGUAAUGGCCUACCAAGGCGACAAUGCGUACCCGACCUGAGAGGGUGAUCGGCCACACUGGGACUGAGACACGGCCCAGACUCCUACGGGAGGCAGCAGUAGGGAAUCUUCCACAAUGGACAAAAGUCUGAUGGAGCAACGCCGCGUGAGUGAAGAAGGAUUUCGGUUCGUAAAACUCUGUUGCGAGGGAAGAACAAGUACGACUUAACUACUCGUACCUUGACGGUACCUCGUUAGAAAGCCACGGCUAAUCUACGUGCCAGCAGCCGCGGUAAUACGUAGGUGGCAAGCGUUGUCCGGAAUUAGUGGGCGUAAAGCGCGCGCAGGCGGUCCUUUAAGUCUGAUGUGAAAGCCCACGGCUCUACCGUGGAAGGUCAUUGGAAACUGGAGGACUUGAGUAUAAGAGAGGAAAGUGGAAUUCCACGUGUAGCGGUGAAAUGUGUAGAGAUGUGGAGGAACACCAGUGGCGAAGGCGACUUUCUGGAUUAUUACUCACGAUCAGGCGCGAAAGCGUGGGGAGCAAACAGGAUUAGAUACCUUGGUAGUCCACGCCCUAAACGAUA